UGGGGAAUAUUGGACAAUGGGGGCAACCCUGAUCCAGCAAUGCCGCGUGUGUGAAGAAGGUCUUCGGAUUGUAAAGCACUUUCGACGGGGACGAUGAUGACGGUACCCGUAGAAGAAGCCCCGGCUAACUUCGUGCCAGCAGCCGCGGUAAUACGAAGGGGGCUAGCGUUGCUCGGAAUGACUGGGCGUAAAGGGCGUGUAGGCGGUUUACACAGUCAGAUGUGAAAUCCCCGGGCUUAACCUGGGAGCUGCAUUUGAUACGUGUAGACUAGAGUGUGAGAGAGGGUUUGUGGAAUUCCCAGUGUAGAGGUGAAAUUCGUAGAUAUUG
rnacentral:rRNA from 1 species